AACCUUGAAGAGGAGUACUAGUACUACUACUAGGUUGUACUUCUGGUUUCUGGGUGACUUCUUUCGUUUUUGGAAAAGGUUGACCAGAUUGAGGGCAGUUGCGCCUUGAGUUGAGCACACAGGCAGCAAAAUCUGGAAGAAUUGAGAUGGGUAUCAACUUCAACGUGAGACAGUGGGGUAAAGGGACAAAGAUAAUGGUCAGUUGGGCUGGUAUUCUGUUCCUGGGUGUGUCGUCCUUCAUUCUGACCAAACGCCAAGUGGACAGAAAUCGCUACGACAUCAUGAAGAGCAAACAGAGGAUGCUGAACGCCAAUCUGUCAGUUGAGGACUCGGAGAACGUCAGAUAUAAAUAGAACAACAUCCCCCCUGCAGUGUUAUUUUUGACUCUAUGAAUGCUGCCUUCCAUGGAUAUUCAAACUCUAUGGAUAUUCAAUGCUGCGGCCAGCCUUCAUGCACAUGUGCAUCGUGGAAUGAGGAUAUAGUUCUGCGUCACCAGAGCAAAAAUGCGUCAUUCUUGGUGUGUUUUCCCAUAAAAAGGACCCCAGCUCCACCGAUUCACCAAAUUGACAGUGAUCAUUCAUUCGUUACAUACAUGUACAUGUGCAAUCCUUGUUCUUUGAGUAUAUAUGGAACCAUCUAAUAUGCCAGUACCCCCCGCCCUGCAAACAGGGCGCUGGGAAGGGCUGAUGAGCUUCACAGAAUCUUGUGAAGGAAGUGAGGAUGGCAUUCUGGGUAACUUAUCAUGACCUAUAUAAAGACAUCUGGCUGCAUCUUUUUAAGACCGCAGUUAGCCAACGUGCGCAAAUGCUAUCUGGAAACUUUCUCGUAGAAAUGCAUUUAUUCCAUACCGGAUGUGAUUUCAUUUUGCAUUGCGGACCAUGUGGACAAAUUUGAGUGUCACAUAAAAUGCAAUUUGACCCAUCGUAAAGUCAAAAUGGAGCCUGAGCAAGUGGCGGGAAUUGAAAAUUUGCAAAACAGAUAAGUUUUACAGUUUAUCCUACAUUAUUAUGUUUUUUCAACGAAAAAAAAGAAGCAUUUAUGAGUAGGGACUGGGUCUUAACGGCCUUUAAAACCUGACAGGGUCGUUGGCCUUGAUGGUUUGCAGGUGACAGGUCACGCAAAGUCUAUCCAAUCAGAGCGUAAAUUCAUCAGCCCUUCCCAGCAUACUUUUCCAGAGCGGGGGUUACGAGCGAAAUAGAAAAUUGGAUGUAACCUCAUUCAGCAAAGACUUCAAUUUGAAAGACUUGGAGGCUACUGAUUCAUUAAUCAGAGGAUAACAUGUGGCUUAUCACCUGUGUAGUAAUGUACAUGCAGUAGCCAUAGGGUAUUUUUUUUAAGUUAAAGAUUAAUGGAGGAUGUGGCGAAGCAAGGGUUAAAAUGAGUUGAUCAUUUUGUUGGCACCCUAAAAAUUGAAAAUGGUGACGGCUUGAUUUCACAAUCUAGGGAGUGUGUGGGAUUAAAAAAGAAAAGAAAAAGGAGGCUAGAUUUUCUGUUUGUUUUACAUCAGCUUGCAUCUCCAUCCACUGUGUAGUUGUCUGAAGGAUUAUUUUGAUGUUGUCGUUGAUUGUUGAAGUUGUCUCUUAACCCUUACCUUCCCAAAUCCUAUUGCAAAAUGUAGGAUUUUACAAGAUUGAGGCUAAAUGGCAAAAGUGUGUGGCUGAUUUUGGAGGAUGCACUGUGUUAAGGUCUUGGGCCAGACCUCGUCUUUGUGCUCGGCCGUGCAUGAAUUGUAUAGGCCUACAUUGUACUUGAAAUCCUCCGCACUGCUCCAGGAUGUCACUGGCUCUGCCUCGACAUAUUGACGGUGAUUGCUGAAGGAUUGUGCAGGAUUGAGGCAAUGGUCACCCCUCCAAGGACCACAUUCAAGAAACAACGGAUGAAUUUGGAGGAUUGAAGCUGUGUGCAAUUUUUACAUGGAGGCAGUUGGAGGAUUUUGCAGGAUUGAGGUUGCAGCCUAGCAAAAAUAUCUUGGGAGUUAGGUUUAAAGAUUCCUUUUUCGCUGACAUCAGUGCUAGCAAUAAAAUCAUGAACUAAUAAGGGAAUAAAUGUGUGCUCCGGAGGUUUUUAUCA